rnacentral:rRNA from 1 species
UACGUAGGGGGCAAGCGUUGUCCGGAAUCAUUGGGCGUAAAGAGCGCGUAGGCGGCCCGGUAAGUCCGCUGUGAAAGUCAAGGGCUCAACCCUUGAAUGCCGGUGGAUACUGUCGGGCUAGAGUCCGGAAGAGGCGAGUGGAAUUCCUGGUGUAGCGGUGAAAUGCGCAGAUAUCAGGAGGAACACCAAUGGCGAAGGCAGCUCGCUGGGACGGUACUGACGCUGAGACGCGAAAGCGUGGGGAGCGAACAGG